GGUUUCUAGGACCGCCGUAAUGAUUAAUAGGGAUAGUCGGGGGCAUCAGUAUUCAAUUGUCAGAGGUGAAAUUCUUGGAUUUAUUGAAGACUAACUACUGCGAAAGCAUUUGCCAAGGAUGUUUUCAUUAAUCAGUGAACGAAAGUUAGGGGAUCGAAGACGAUCAGAUACCGUCGUAGUCUUAACCAUAAACUAUGCCGACUAGGGAUCGGGCGAUGUUAUUUUUUGACUCGCUCGGCACCUUACGAGAAAUCAAAGUUUUUGGGUUCUGGGGGGAGUAUGGUCGCAAGGCUGAAACUUAAAGAAAUUGACGGAAGGGCAAAAACAUUCGGUGGUGCCCUAAAUUUACUAAGUCCUCCGGGGCAAGGUCGCUGAACUGUGGGGACUCUCGUUCUGAGAUGCCCGCAGCUGUACUCACUAGAGUACGGUUCACAGGUCAAGCAGUGGCCGGCGGCGCUCAGCGCGCUGUUUUGAUAUGAUCGGUCUGCUCGUUAAGACGAGCAGGAACUUGCCACCAGGAGUGGAGCCUGCGGCUUAAUUUGACUCAACACGGGGAAACUCACCAGGUCCAGACACAAUAAGGAUUGACAGAUUGAGAGCUCUUUCUUGAUUUUGUGGGUGGUGGUGCAUGGCCGUUCUUAGUUGGUGGAGUGAUUUGUCUGCUUAAUUGCGAUAACGAACGAGACCUUAACCUGCUAAAUAGCCAGGCUAGCUUUGGCUGGUCGCCGGCUUCUUAGAGGGAC
rnacentral:rRNA from 1 species